CUCGUCUGAAGUUAUACCAGCAUGGCGAGGGACAAAUACUGCUUCCGAGCCAUAUCUUCCAGGGCUCAGCUUGAAGAUACCCUCCACAUUCCCUCCAACUUCAAGUUGUUUCUUUCCAUCCUGGGGUUCCUUAUGUAGAUCAAACUUUAUAAUGCCCGUGACCUUUGUAAUGCUGUCAAGUAUUGUUCCAUAGACAUAUUGCUGUUUCCUGCCAGUAUAAUUCUCAUUGAUACGAGGGAAAUCUACAGCAGAGACUGAUAAUUGCUUCUGUGAGGCAACACCAGUUUUCAUAUUAAAUCGCAUUUCAUACAGCUCAUUCUUGAAAUUUUCAAGCUUAUCUUUGACAUCUCCGCUGACCAUAUCUAAAUCCGGGUUCUCAAGGCGGCAAGUGAUUAAGAUAAUUUCAUCACCCUCCUCCCAAGCAUUUGCAUUAUGGAAUAUGAAGCAGUUCGGAAGCUCAAACCAUCUAAUAUGAAGCUCGUCCUUAGCAUAUCGUGG
rnacentral:misc_RNA from 1 species